rnacentral:rRNA from 1 species
UACGAAGGGAGCGAGCGUUGUUCGGAAUUACUGGGCUUAAAGCGUGCGUAGGCGGACAAGAAAGUCAGAAGUGAAAUCCCGGGGCUUAACCUCGGAACUGCUUUUGAAACUUCUUGUCUGGAAUUCGGAAGAGGUUGGCGGAAUACCCAGUGUAGAGGUGAAAUUCGCAGAUAUUGGGUAGAACACCGGUGGCGAAGGCGGCCAACUGGUCCGACAUUGACGCUGAGGCACGAAAGCGUGGGGAGCAAACAGG